rnacentral:lncRNA from 1 species
CUGAUGCUGCUUCUUUUUCUAUCACUCCAAGCAUCGAUCAUGAUUAAACAACCAUUAUAUUUUCGACUCUUCUUGCUUUUUUAAAGUUUCUGUUGUCCUUUCCACCUCUCUCUUCAAAAGUGGCUUCCUUAAUUGGUAUUGGGAAUGAGGAAUGCAACCAAGGCCAUAUUAACCAAGAGCUUCCACAAAUAGUUUCACACUAUCAUUGUUAAUGGCAUUUAAAGGAAGGCUUCAUAAAUCCGUCUUGCCAAAUAUCAAUGAACCUCUAAUAACCUUUUCUUAGAAAUUGCAUCAUUCAUAUUUUGUUGUCUCAAUUUCUUACUUGCACUCAUAGAAGCCUCAUUGACAUCGAUAGGCCUUGCAAAUUGAUCUACAGAUCCCACAUUAAAAGACCUUUUCCUAGUCCCUCAUAAUAGAAAUUUCAUUUUCUUCAUCCUCCUCUAUUGUAAGCAAAGAUAUACCCACGUCUUCCCUCAACUUAGCAUUGUUCAAUAGCUUCUUUAUUUUUUUAAACUUGGACCCUUGAAUUGCCUCAACAUACUUGGCUUUUUUGUUCUUCACUUGCUCUAAGACAUGAUGCCACACCUCUUCCCUUGAUUCCUACUACAUGAAUUUUACGCCUACAAAUUCCUCCCUUAGUAACCUUACCGCAUAAUAUGCAUUUCACAUUAUUAAGAUUUUUAGGAUCUUCCAAAAUCGCAGUUUCCGAUCCAGCAUCUCUGGAAUCUCUUUUUAGAUGGCUAG